rnacentral:rRNA from 1 species
ACGAACGCUGGCGGCGUGCCUAAUACAUGCAAGUUGAGCGCUGAAGGUUGGUACUUGUACCCACUGGAUGAGCAGCGAACGGGUGAGUAACGCGUGGGGAAUCUGCCUUUGAGCGGGGGACAACAUUUGGAAACGAAUGCUAAUACCGCAUAAAAACUUUAAACACAAGUUUUAAGUUUGAAAGAUGCAAUUGCAUCACUCAAAGAUGAUCCCGCGUUGUAUUAGCUAGUUGGUGAGGUAAAGGCUCACCAAGGCGAUGAUACAUAGCCGACCUGAGAGGGUGAUCGGCCACAUUGGGACUGAGACACGGCCCAAACUCCUACGGGAGGCAGCAGUAGGGAAUCUUCGGCAAUGGACGAAAGUCUGACCGAGCAACGCCGCGUGAGUGAAGAAGGUUGUCGGAUCGUAAAACUCUGUUGGUAGAGAAGAACGUUGGUGAGAGUGGAAAGCUCAUCAAGUGACGGUAACUACCCAGAAAGGGACGGCUAACUACGUG